rnacentral:rRNA from 1 species
GAUGAACGCUGGCGGCGUGCCUAAUACAUGCAAGUCGAGCGAACGGACGAGAAGCUUGCUUCUCUGGUGUUAGCGGCGGACGGGUGAGUAACACGUGGAUAACCUACCUAUAAGACUGGGAUAACUUCGGGAAACCGUAGCUAAUACCGGAUAAUAUUUUGAACCGCAUGGUUCAAAAGUGAAAGACGGUCUUGCUGUCACUUAUAGAUGGAUCCGCGCUGCAUUAGCUAGUUGGUAAGGUAACGGCUUACCAAGGCAACGAUGCAUAGCCGACCUGAGAGGGUGAUCGGCCACACUGGAACUUAGACACGGUCCAGACUCCUACGGGAGGCAGCAGUAGGGAAUCUUCCGCAAUGGGCGAAAGCCUGACGGUGCAACGCCGCGUUAGUUAUGAAGGUCUUCGGAUCGUAAAACUCUGUUAUUAGGGAAGAACAUAUGUGUAAGUAACUGUGCACAUCUUGACGGUACCUAAUCAGAAAGCCACGGCUAACUACGUG